CGUCGUAGUCCGGAUUGGAGUCUGCAACUCGACUCCAUGAAGUCGGAAUCGCUAGUAAUCGUGGAUCAGAAUGCCACGGUGAAUACGUUCCCGGGCCUUGUACACACCGCCCGUCACACCAUGGGAGUGRGUUGCAAAAGAAGUAGGUAGCUUAACCUUCGGGAGGGCGCUUACCACUUUGUGAUUCAUGACUGGGGUGAAGUCGUAACAAGGUAACCGUAGGGGAACCUGCGGUUGGAUCACCUCCUUACCUUAAAGAAGC
rnacentral:rRNA from 1 species